CAUAAUACUGAGAUCAUUCUUUCAUUCAAUCACUUACUAUGCUUACUUAAAAAAAUGGUUGCAUAAUAUCUAAGAAAUGACAGAGUAAUCAGGAAAGAAUUGUGGUGACAGAAUCAAGAGAGGGAGUUUCUAGGCUCAAGACUCCGGAAAAGCCACCCCUGGUAUCAAGAGAUUUAUGUUAAGAUUCCCAGCUGAGACAGGCAGAGGUCAAGAUACAUUUCUGAGACUGGGAAGUAAACAUUCUUGGCCAAAUUUUUAUGUUUGUUGCUAGGUGACCAAAGUCCUCUUGUGAUGCCAUUGCUACUCAGGUUGGAAACCACUGUGGUGAUCUAGAUUACCUUACCUGAGUAGACUACUGAAGCAGCAUUUGAAGCUGCAGUCUUGAAACAUACGCAGGCUGAAAAAGUAGCUAAAGAAUUACUUAUUUGAGAUGGCACAUGUUUCUGCAGAAACUCAAGAUGUUUCUCCUAAAGAUGAAUCAAAUGGCUUGGAAGCCUCCACUUGGUCUCCAUUGUGUGAACACAUAAUGCCUGGGGAUUCAGAAUUAAAGUAAAUGACUGAAUAAAUGAUUUUCAGGUCUUGCCACAAGGAUCCUUGAUAAAAAGGCCACAUUACACAUUGUGUCUCUGAACUAGAUACAGAUAAUGAUUUUCCUUCUCUGACCUUUCCCUGUAAACUUUGGAAAAUAGUUGAAAGUGCCAAAUUCAAGUCUAAAUCAUGGGAUAAGAAUGAAACUUGCAUAGUGAUUAAUGAAGAACUCUUCAAUAAAGAAAAUUUGGAAAUAAAGGCUCCUUACAGAAUAUUUGAAACUGACAGUAUGAAAAGCUUAACUCGACAGCUCAACCUUUAUGGAUUUAGUAAAAUUCAACAGAAUUUUCACAGAUCUGCCUUUCUAGCCAAAUUUCUGGCAGAAGAAAAAUUUCUGUUUUAAGCAAGGUAUUCAAAAUAUUUCAGUUACCACUUUGAGUAUAUAUGUAAUUUCAUUUUGUACAUCAGUAACUAUGUUAAUACAUGCAGUAAGAUCAGAUUUUUAAAAUUAUAUCAAAUAUUGAGGUAAAAAUUACUUAAUUUUUUUGAAAUUAUUGAGUGCAGGUUGAGCAUUAAACUUUCAGGUUUUAGGAAAUAUUGCUAGCAACUUUGAGUAUCACCAGUGAACUCCAAGUAAAGAUACCAAAGCCACUUAGUGAAAUGUUACUAUUAAAUGUAUAACAUGUUUUCACUUGAGGACUUCAAAACUUGAGUGUUUUUUUUUUCUCAACAAGCAUGUUCUUAAAAAUAGUAAACAAUGUUCAUUCAUUAUUUGAUGAUAUUAACUUUGUGUUGAUAAAACAGAAAUCUGAGAUUGUAUGUGUUAUGUUUGUUAUUGUUACUUGUCUCUUGGUUUAAAAUGGCACUGAAUUACCUUCUCCUUGGUUUUAGUUAAAGUUGUAUUAUCAUCCAAAAUUCAAGCAUGGCUGUCCCCAACUUUUAAUAAGAACAAAAAGAAGAAUUAGGAUUAAAAACACUUCUCUUGUAUCUACUUCACUGAAUAUUUCAAGAAGCACUUUAGAGCAGAGGCUAACACAGAUAAACAUAAUUCUGUCUUAGCUGCUGAAACUAGUGAAGAAAGUUCAUUUUCCAUAUCUACAAAUUCAAAUAUGACUCUAACAAGGAAAUCUUCUGUCAGCCAGGGAAUUGAUGGUUCACCUGACCCAUUUAGAAGUGGUUUCCCUCCUCUUCCAUUUCAACCUCAGUUGGACAAUCAGAACAAAUUACAACAAAUCAACAUGCUAUUUUAAAUCAAUUGACGAAUAUUCAUAUGCACUCUCAUAGCACCGACAUGUAAGCAAAUGGCCACAUUGUGAAUUUUGUUAAAACCACAGCUUCUCAAUAAUACAUCAUGUCUCCCUUCUUUGGGGCUGAUAGUGAAACCUUCAACUUUUUCCAACCAGAUCUCCUGAAGUAUUAGCCAAUGAGGCUCCUCGUUAUAACCUGCUACCAGCAGGCAAUCUGUGGUUGUGAAUGAGUGCGAUAGCUGAUACAUCAGUUGCCUUUCGUUACAGGCCAGCUCUUCAACCAUCUUUACUGGAAAAAUAUCACCCUAGUUACAACUGAUCUUCCACCAAAAGAGUACCAGAUUAUGCACGACAACAGAGACUGAAAUUUAUGUUGACAAGAACAUUAAAAAUUCCUGCAAUUCUCUUACUGAACAAUAAAAUUACAUGUUGACUUUUA